AUGGACGAAAGUCUGAUGGAGCACGCCGCGUGAGUGAAGAAGGGUUUCGGCUCGUAAAACUCUGUUGUUAAAGAAGAACAUAUCUGAGAGUAACUGUUCAGGUAUUGACGGUAUUUAACCAGAAAGCCACGGCUAACUACGUGCCAGCAGCCGCGGUAAUACGUAGGUGGCAAGCGUUGUCCGGAUUUAUUGGGCGUAAAGCGAGCGCAGGCGGUUUUUUAAGUCUGAUGUGAAAGCCUUCGGCUUAACCGAAGAAGUGCAUCGGAAACUGGGAAACUUGAGUGCAGAAGAGGACAGUGGAACUCCAUGUGUAGCGGUGAAAUGCGUAGAUAUAUGGAAGAACACCAGUGGCGAAGGCGGCUGUCUGGUCUGUAACUGACGCUGAGGCUCGAAAGUAUGGGUAGCAAACAGGAUUAGAUACCCUGGUAGUCCAUACCGUAAACGAUGAAUGCUAAGUGUUGGAGGGUUUCCGCCCUUCAGUGCUGCAGCUAACGCAUUAAGCUUCCGCCUGGGGAGUACGGCCGCAAGGCUGAAACUCAAAGGAAUUGACGGGGGCCCGCACAAGCGGUGGAC
rnacentral:rRNA from 2 species